rnacentral:rRNA from 1 species
CCUACGAGUGACAGCAGUGAGGAAUAUUGGUCAAUGGGCGUAAGCCUGAACCAGCCAAGUCGCGUGAGGGAUGAAGGUUCUAUGGAUCGUAAACCUCUUUUAUAAGGGAAUAAAGUGCGGGACGUGUCCCGUUUUGUAUGUACCUUAUGAAUAAGGAUCGGCUAACUCCGUGCCAGCAGCCGCGGUACUACGGAGGAUCCGAGCGUUAUCCGGAUUUAUUGGGUUUAAGGGGUGCGUAGGCGGCCUUUUAAGUCAGCGGUGAAAUUCUGUGGCUCAAGCAUAGAAUUGCCGUUGAAACUGGGAGGCUUGAGUAUGUUUGAGGCAGGCGGAAUGCGUGGUGUAGCGGUGAAAUGCUUAGAUAUCACGCAGAACCCCGAUUGCGAAGGCAGCCUGCCAAGCCAUGACUGACGCUGAUGCACGAAAGCGUGGGGAUCAAACAGGAUUAGAUACCCGUGUAGUC